GUGAGGAAUAUUGGUCAAUGGGCGAGAGCCUGAACCAUCCAAGUCGCGUGAAGGAAGAAGGAUCUAUGGUUCGUAAACUUCUUUUGCAGGGGAAUAAAGUGCAGGACGUGUCCUGUUUUGUAUGUACCCUGAGAAUAAGGAUCGGCUAACUCCGUGCCAGCAGCCGCGGUAAUACGGAGGAUCCGAGCGUUAUCCGGAUUUAUUGGGUUUAAAGGGUGCGUAGGUGGUUUGAUAAGUCAGCGGUGAAAGUUUGCAGCUUAACUGUAAAAAUGCCGUUGAAACUGUCGGACUUGAGUGUAAAUGAGGUAGGCGGAAUGCGUGGUGUAGCGGUGAAAUGCAUAGAUAUCACGCAGAACUCCGAUUGCGAAGGCAGCUUACUAAGCUACAACUGACACUGAAGCACGAAAGCGUGGGGAUCAAACAGGAUUAGAAACCCUAGUAGUCC
rnacentral:rRNA from 1 species